UCUAUUAUGASAGAAUUAAUGUAAUGAAUUUAAAAUUCAUUUAUAAAGAAUAAUCUUUUUUUAGAA
rnacentral:tRNA from 1 species